AGCGUGCCCUUAUAGGGCGUGCUGCUCGAGCCGAUACCGGUCGUUGCCGAAUAGCUGUAAGUGCCGGACGUCAGUUGCGACAGGAUGAAAUCGGAACGCGUGGUGUCGCCAGCCGGUGUCGCGGGACUCGUGCUGUAGACGAUCAGGCGCGACGAAUCCGCCAGCAAUCCGGAAUUGACGGUGAUGCGUCCCGCGAGGCCCGUUUGCUG
rnacentral:misc_RNA from 1 species